rnacentral:rRNA from 1 species
GUGGGGAAUAUUCCGCAAUGGACGAAAGUCUGACGGAGCAACGCCGCGUGAGUGAUGAAGGUUUUCGGACUGUAAAGCUCUGUUGUUUAGGACGAAAGUGCCUGUUGCGAUCAGUUACAGGUAUUGACGGUACUAAACGAGGAAGCCACGGCUAACUACGUGCCAGCAGCCGCGGUAAUACGUAGGUGGCAAGCGUUGUCCGGAAUUAUUGGGCGUAAAGAGCAUGUAGGCGGGAAUCUAAGUCUGUUGUUAAAAUGCGGGGCUCAACCCCGUAUUGCGAUGGAAACUGGGUUUCUUGAGUGCAGGAGAGGAAAGGGGAAUUCCCAGUGUAGCGGUGAAAUGCGUAGAUAUUGGGAGGAACACCAGUGGCGAAGGCGCCUUUCUGGACUGUGUCUGACGCUGAGAUGCGAAAGCCAGGGUAGCGAACGGGAUUAGAAACCCCAGUAGUCC